rnacentral:rRNA from 1 species
UGGGGAAUUUUGGACAAUGGGGGAAACCCUGAUCCAGCCAUCCCGCGUGUGCGAUGAAGGCCUUCGGGUUGUAAAGCACUUUUGGCAGGAAAGAAACGUCAUGGGUUAAUACCCCGUGAAACUGACGGUACCUGCAGAAUAAGCACCGGCUAACUACGUGCCAGCAGCCGCGGUAAUACGUAGGGUGCAAGCGUUAAUCGGAAUUACUGGGCGUAAAGCGUGCGCAGGCGGUUCGGAAAGAAAGAUGUGAAAUCCCAGAGCUCAACUUUGGAACUGCAUUUUUAACUACCGGGCUAGAGUGUGUCAGAGGGAGGUGGAAUUCCGCGUGUAGCAGUGAAAUGCGUAGAUAUGCGGAGGAACACCGAUGGGGAAGGCAGCCUCCUGGGAUAACACUGACGCUCAUGCACGAAAGCGUGGGGAGCAAACAGG